rnacentral:ncRNA from 1 species
GUGCGGGAGAGUUCACGUUGUAAGCCGUUGACGUGACGCCGAAGGAGCAACUCCUCCCCGGAACCUCUCAGGCGGCAGGGACCGUGCGG